rnacentral:lncRNA from 1 species
GGUGAAGUGCUUAAAUACUUUAAUCUCUUUCUUAAGGCUGAAAAUAGCUUUUCUCAGAUUUAAUCUUUGAACUGGCAAAAAUCUUAUGAUUUUCUACUUAAAUAGAAUAUUUAUAGUUGCCAUUCAUCUUUGAGAAUAUCUUAGAGUUAGUUUUGAGCUGUUGGAGUGUAUUGAAUGCACAUUAAAUGCAUAAAAAAUAGACUAAA